UAUUACCUGGUGCUUGGUGUAGUGCUUCAAGUUUGCCGCCUGCACCGCGAAGAUUGCUUGAAGCUGUGGUGGAGGUAGGCUGGCAAGCCCUUGUGCGUCGGUGUUGUCAUGUCUCCGCCCCUGCGUCGGCGCAUAGUUGCGCCGUGGGGGGGAACGCGUUCGGUCACGGCGUACCGCUCCGGCACGCGUCCAGUAGUCGGAGUCGAUGUGCCGCCCCUG
rnacentral:lncRNA from 1 species